CCUACGGGGGGCUGCAGUGGGGAAUAUUGCACAAUGGGGGAAACCCUGAUGCAGCGACGCCGCGUGAGUGAAGAAGUAUUUCGGUAUGUAAAGCUCUAUCAGCAGGGAAGAAAAUGACGGUCCCUGAUUAAGAAGCCCCGGCUAACUACGUGCCAGCAGCCGCGGUAAUACGUAGGGGGCAAGCGUUAUCCGGAUUUACUGGGUGUAAAGGGAGCGUAGACGGUGAUGCAAGUCAGAAGUGAAAGCCCGGGGCUCAACUCCGGGACUGCUUUUGGAACUGUGGUGCUAGAGUGCAGGAGAGGUAAGUGGAAUUCCUAGUGUAGCGGUGAAAUGCGUAGAUAUUAGGAGGAACACCAGUGGCGAAGGCGGCUUACUGGACUGUAACUGACGUUGAGGCUCGAAAGCGUGGGGAGCAAACAGGAUUAGAUACCCCAGUAGUC
rnacentral:rRNA from 1 species